GUUUUAUACACACACACACACACACACAUACACACAUACACACAUACACACACAUAUAUAUAUGUGUGUGUGUGUGUAUGUGUGUGUGUGUGUUGUGGUUGGAC
rnacentral:miRNA from 1 species